UAAGAAUGCCAAUGAGAACUAUCCACCAGAGAUUGAGCCACAAGGCUGCAAAAACUAUCUUUCUUUCAUGUGAAUUUUGUGUAUACUUUGUAUACUUUGUAAGCUCCCCUACAGCUGAUAGUUAACAUUUUCAUCAAAUUAUGAUUUAAAUUAUCCUUUCUUUAAAUAAAAUUAUUUGGUAAAUAAACUUUUUUAAAUAAUCAUUGAAAAAGCUUCUAAAUUUUCUGAAAAAAUUACAUUAAAUAGGCACUUUUGAAUUUAAAAAAAAAAAAUAUACCAGUAAUGGCACAAGGAUAGAAGAUGUGUGGAAUCAAAUAGGUACCAACUAUAGUGAUAAUGAAAUAUUCUAAUAAUAACCAGUUUUUUAAUGUCUUGACUUAAUGGACUUAUUGUAUGAUGAUAUAUGCGACCAGUUAGAAAAGUGGACAAUGAAAUAUUCAAACAUGGAACUGACUGAAGUUAAUAGACUUAAAAUUCAAAAUUGAAACCAGCAAGUGAAUUAUUUACAACGGCCUUGGAACCAGCAAGUGAAUUAUUGACAUUUAUUUUGAUGUGACCAGUAUUCAUGUGGAUGGACAGUACUAGUGGACUAUAAACUGAUAAAUCUCACAGAAAGGCACAUCACAACUGAGUCUGAAGCUGUUACAUACAAAAGACAAGAUAUCCAGGAAAUAAGAAUUGUAUGUGAUCUAUUUAAAGAUCUUAGGACAGUAGGACCUGGAAGUACUGUAUUACCAACUUCAAGAUUAACUGAGCUUGAGAAAUUACAAAUCAACUGAUACAGAAGAAGAGACUUUGUGGAUGAACUUGGAAACAAUUAUUGACAAACAAUAUAGUGUAUUAGUAUUCUUGUACAAUUCAAUAGAGAGAGAGAGAGAGAGAGGAAGGAUAGGAGAGAGUCAGUUGUAAAGAUUUAUGUCUUUUUAACCAGACAUGUCGAUUACAUUAGAAUUUCAGAGGCCUACAGUUCUCCCUUAAAUGGUCAUAGUUAAUACAUGAAGUAGUUAAAGUAGAGGACUUUAGUGUGACCAGUGAAAACAAUCAGGCAGCUGCCAUUGGUUUAAAUCUCUUUUUUCGAAGAUGUUUUGGUUACAUUAGAAUAAAUCUGUGAGGAAUGACAAAAAAAAUGCAAAAUAAAUAAUUUGUGGUAUUUUGUACAGUUUCAUUAUGCAAUCUUGAAUACAUUUAUGAUUACUAUUUAUAAAGAAGUAUUAUCAUUAGAAUGAGGAUGGAAAAUGUUUAAACAUUUAUUUGAGACAGAGUUUUGCAUUAUUUCAUUAAAAUUAUUAAAUUCUUUUUGUGUGAAUGAAGGACAAACAGGGAAAACAGAAGCUAUUCUAUGAAUUUCAAAUUGUAUUUAUUUACAUUUGAUUGAUUAGUUGAAGAUUAACUACACGUAUUCAGCAUAGUACAAAAUUAAGGAUGCACUGCAAGUGUAUAUUAUCUUUAUAGUUAUCAUCACACUAUGUCCAAUCUAGAUGUACAACACUCUUUUUUAUAGUGUUCUGUAAAUUAUCAGGAACACCAGUUGUGAUGAAUGGGAAGACUGGCAGGCUGAGAAAUGGGUAUAAGGGGAGGGAAUACCCCUGCUUAUCUUUUCAUACUGGUUAGUUCCUUUGGUAAAGGUUUUGUACAAAUGUUGUUCAUAUCAGAUGUAUACUAUUUGAAGAGAGUUGUUAUUUGGAGCUCUAAAAAAAAAAAAGAAAAAGAAAAAGAAAAAAAAGAAGAGAAAAAAAAGAAUAGAGUUCUAGAUAAUAACUGGGUGGUAUAAAAUGUGGGUUAAAUAUUUUUUUUUUUAUUUAUGCAUCUGAUAUUUUUUGUGUAUAAAAUGUUUUGUUAUUUUUUACAGAA